rnacentral:lncRNA from 1 species
AUGGCCUCCCUCUCCGAGCUCGCCUACAUCUACUCGGCCCUCAUUCUGCAUAAUGAUAAAAUCAAUGCCCUCAUUAAAGCAGCUGGUGUAAAUGUUGAACCUUUCUGGCCUGGCGUGUUUGCAAAGGCCCUAGCCAAUGUCAGCAUCGGGAACCCCAUCUGCAAUGUAAGGGCUGGUGGACUUGCAGCAGCUGGAGAUCCUACCCCCUCCACUGCUGCUGCUUCAGUUGAGAAGAAAGUGGAAGCAAAGAAAGAAGAAUCCGAGGAAUCUGAUGAGGACAUGGGCUUUGGUCUUUUUGACU